rnacentral:lncRNA from 1 species
AUGCUGGAAACACGAGAAAAGUUCAGUGAGAACCAAGUUGAGGAAGGUGUAGAGGAGGAGGAAGGUACUGUGACUGAUCAUAUCGUGAAGGAAGGCACAUUAAAAGACUUUACCUUAAGGGAAGGCACCUUGAUGGAAAGUACCUUGAAAGUUCCAGAAGUUCCACAGAGAGUAAUUUCAGACACAGUGGAAGAAGCUAACGAGAAUUUGACCUCAAGUUUUAGAAGACAUGAUGAACCCCCUCAGCCAGGCAAUGAUAAUGUCCUUCCUUUGGAAGAUUCCGAGACUCUACCUUACCUUACAAUUGGGACUAACGCAGAAAACCAAAACCCUAAGCCAGAGCCAAUUCCAACCAAAACGUCCCCCAAACUGUUGUCUUCAAAGCCAAUCAGAAGGGUACUAACCUGGCCUCCUACGGCAGUCCAGUGGAAAAAGCAGUGGACCCAAAAUCCACAAGUCCUCAAUGCCUUCCCCAAACUCAUUUACGUCGCUGGGUGCAAGCAUCAAAUUGGCACAUUCCCAUUCAGUACCUCCUUAGCUGCUCCUGAACAUGUCCCACAACUUCUUCAAUCCAGUAAUGUACCACAAGAUGGUAUCUCUGGUUCAUUGUUGGCACAAUGCAAGACAGUGGAACCGUUGAAGCAAAUCUGUGAAUCAACCAUUCGCUCCUACAUCGAGAACCUGCCCAACUUGACACAACAUUACGCUGAAGUCAUUGAAGAAGUGCAGUCUCGUAUUGUCAAUCAUAACAGUCUUACAAACUGUGAUGAUCCCUAUUCUCUGUAUGACUUGGUCCAGAACAGUCCACGAUGUGAAGAGUCAAAUUUGAAAUUUGAGAGAUUCAGGGAAUCUGUGAAUUCCAGAGAAGACUCUGAGAGCGUAAAAAGAAAUCAUAAGAGAAAAAAGGUAAAAGAAACUGCCAUGAGUCAACAGACGCUGUCCACAUCAGAGAAGCAUUCGAGAAGAAGAGACAACAAAGGAAAGAAACUAUUAAGAGAAGGACAGAAAGAUCAGAUUGGCUCUGACUCUAGGGCGCUUCCUUCUGGAGGCUCUCCUGGUGAUGACAACCUGCUAGUGGAUAAUGAAUAUGCCUUCAUAGAUCUUCUGCACGAGGUGGUGGAGAAUCAUGGCCGCUGGACACGAGAGCGAUGGAGGCAGAGUCACCUGAACAGACAAAAGCAGAAACAAACAGGGGUGGGUUUCCAAAAACGUUUGUGA